GCUUAAAGAACCUGCCUUUGCAGUGCUCACACAGAUUGUCUGAUGAACGUAAAGAAGCAAGGCGUCUUGCGAUUGAGACUUCAGUGUCCCCUUCGUCUAGAGGCCCAGGACACCGCCCUUUCACGGCGGUAACAGGGGUUCGAAUCCCCUAGGGGACGCCACUUGCUGGUUCGUGAGUGAAAGACGCGUGCCGAUGUAUCUCAAAACUCAUCUUCGGGUGACGUUUGAGAUAUUUGCUCUUUAAAAAUCUGGAUCAAGCUGAAAAUUGAAACGACACACAGUCAAUGUGUGUUCGAGUCUCUCAAAUUUUCGCAAUCAGAAGUGAAACAUCUUCGGGUUGUGA
rnacentral:misc_RNA from 1 species